rnacentral:tRNA from 1 species
GGAAAGGUGACAGAGUGGUUUAAUGUACCAGUUUUGAAAACUGUCGUAGUUUUAAAACUACCGGGGGUUCGAAUCCCCCCUUUUCCU